CCUACGGGAGGCAGCAGUGAGGAAUAUUGGUCAAUGGACGCGAGUCUGAACCAGCCAAGUAGCGUGAAGGAUGACGGCCCUCUGGGUUGAAAACUUCUUUUAUAUGGACAUACAACAAGGUAUGCAUACCCUCUUGUAUGUACCAUAUGAAUACGAAUAGGCUAACUACGUGCCAGCAGCGGCGCUAAUACGGAGUAUCCGAGCGUUAUCCGGAUUGAUUGGGUGUAAGGGGAGCGUAGGUGGAUUGUUAAGUCAGUUGUGAAAGCUUGGGGCUGAACCGCAAAAUUGCAGUUUAAACUGCGUGUCUUGAGUACAGUAGAGGCGGGCGGAAUUCGUGGUGUAGCGGUGAAAUGCGUAGAGAUUACGAAGAACACCGAUUGCGAAGGCAGCUCACUGGACUUCAACUGACACUGAUGCGCGAAAGUGUGGGUAGCAAACAGGAUUAGAUACCCGUGUAGUC
rnacentral:rRNA from 1 species